rnacentral:tRNA from 1 species
CAUUAAGAAGCUAUGUACCAGCAUUAGCCUUUUAAGCUAAAGAAAGAGGACAAACACCCUCCUUAAUGA